CCUACGGGAGGCAGCAGUGAGGAAUCUUGGUCAAUGGGCGAGAGCCUGAACCAGCCAAGUCGCGUGAGGGAGUACUGCCCUAUGGGUUGUAAACCUCUUUUGUCGGGGAGCAAAAGCCGGACGUGUCCGGCUGUCAGAGUACCCGAAGAAAAAGCAUCGGCUAACUCCGUGCCAGCAGCCGCGGUAAUACGGAGGAUGCGAGCGUUAGCCGGAUUUAGUGGGUUUAAGGGGUGCGUAGGCGGGCAUGUAAGCCGGCGGGCAAAUGUCGGGGCUAAACCCCGGCCUGCCGUCGGAACUGGGUGCCUUGAGUGGGCGAGAAGUAUGCGGAAUGCGUGGUGUAGCGGUGAAAUGCAUAGAUAUCACGCAGAACCCCGAUUGCGAAGGCAGCAUACCGGCGCCCUACUGACGCUGAGGCACGAAAGUGCGGGUAUCGAACAGGAUUAGAUACCCGUGUAGUC
rnacentral:rRNA from 1 species